rnacentral:piRNA from 1 species
UAAUAAGGCCUUCACUGUUUCUGUUUGG